rnacentral:misc_RNA from 1 species
GCUUGUUUGAUCACCUAAAUCCAGAACCAAUGAACCAAAGGAUGUUAAAUUUUACUUCUAUGUGUGUGUGUAUUUACUUGUAUUUCUGUGAUAUUGAUUUCAAUUGCUGAGGAAUUAUAGUAUAGAAAUAGUGCAGUUUAUCACUUGGCCUAACCUAAUGCACUUGUUUCAAGUGCUUGUUAAUAUUCUUUGUUUUAUGGGCAUCAAAAGUGACCUAUUGCCCUUUUUUUUGGUUUCUACCCAGAUUUUAGUGACAUUGGUUUAUGGUUUCCUGCAGUAGUAGGCUUGAACUUGUUGAU